GAGCGGACCAGUUGGGGGGGUGCGUGCUUUAACGCGGCGGCCGUGGGUCUCCACCCGAGACUAUGGCGGCUGGCAUUGCACCGGAGCGGGGCGGAGAACUAGGAAUAUAUAGUUAAAGUAUCUUUAUGUUUUUAUAACUGCGUUUGCUAAAAAAAAAAAAUUUUUUAAAAACGCGCGUUUUUCCUUUUUUUUUUAACAGCAACUUAGUUUUUAACACGCGAAAAAAACAUAUUUCCCUCCUUCCAACCCUCCACAUUCCGGAUGGUGGCGUAGCCGUCAAACGCGUGGCCUGCUCGGGGGCGAAAUUGCCACAAUGGAGCCCCGCGUCGGAGCAGCGGGUCUUCGUGCGCCGCCGUAGCCGAGAGCGCGGCCAGCUCGCACCGCGUCGUCGUCGUCGAACAGGCGCCCCUAAAAUGGUGACCGGUCCACGGCUCGACUGAGUGACACGAUGCGUGAGUACAAAGUGGUGGUCCUGGGCAGCGGAGGGGUGGGCAAGUCCGCCCUGACGGUGCAGUUUGUCACCGGGACGUUCAUUGAGAAGUACGACCCCACCAUAGAGGACUUCUACCGCAAGGAGAUCGAGGUGGACUCCUCGCCGUCGGUGCUGGAGAUCCUCGACACCGCCGGUACCGAGCAGUUCGCCUCCAUGCGGGACCUCUACAUCAAGAACGGCCAAGGGUUCAUCCUGGUCUACAGCCUGGUCAACCAGCAGAGCUUCCAGGACAUAAAACCCAUGAGAGACCAGAUCAUAAGAGUAAAAAGGUACGAGAAGGUUCCCGUCAUCCUGGUGGGCAACAAGGUGGACCUGGAGAGCGAGAGGGAGGUGUCGUCCAGCGAGGGCCAGGCCCUGGCCGAGGAGUGGGGCUGCCCCUUCAUAGAGACCUCGGCCAAGAGCAAAACCAUGGUAGACGAACUGUUCGCCGAGAUCGUCCGGCAGAUGGACUUCGCCGCCCAGCCCGACAAGGACGACCCCUGCUGCUCGUCUUGCAAUAUACAGUAGCCGGGGCGAGGAGAGGUUUGCGGCAGAGAGAGACCCGCACUGAGCACGCUGACACACAUGCACAUGCCAACUUGAUGGUUGAACACCAUGGAGUUAUUGAAGCCUAAGUGACAUUCAUUAUGUGAGUAAUGGCGUCGAGAAACAAUGAACAAGUACGACAUACCCUCGCCUUAUGUUGCUCUCAUCAUGGGACUUGUUUUUUUUUUUCUUCCUUUUUUUUUUUUUUAAAGAUAACACUUCAUUCUGCUGUGAUUCUCUUUAGUUUCCUUGAUGCAUUUACUGUGACAAGCCAGCACACAACUCCAACAAGAGAAAUAUUUCCUGCAAGUACCAAGAAAGGAUUGGAGUUGUGUACAUUUUGUGCAGUGUUUUUCUACUCAUCGCCGGCCUGAACCAAAGAGGUGCUUAUUCCCCAAUCGCCUUCUUCCAUCCGAGGAAGAGAGAGAAUAGAGGCUUGGCAAGUUGCUCCCAGGAUUUCGUGGAGGUUGUGUGAUGUCCAGUGUGGACCAACCUAUGUCUAUACUUGUGUUACCAGUGAGGCUUGCACAACAAUCGCUAUGUUGUGUGUCCUCCAUACUGCAGGGCAACUACACUACAGAGGUGGUUUAAACAGGACUCGGGGUGAGAAAGUGGCUCAUUUUCUCCUGCAAGCUCAGCAGCUGUCCAGUCCAAGGUAAUAAGAAAGGGUACAAUUAUUUAGACAUUUUAUCAGCGUUUUUACACAAAUCCUUAGAAAAGGUCACAUGCUGCUACUUUGGCUUUGACACAUGGCCGCACAACUAUUGUGGUUCUUCACCACGUGUGAUCUUUGAAAAUCCUCGUUUCGGGUGCAUAUAGGAGGCCCAUGAGGCUUUGGAAAGGUUUGUGACCCCCUUGCUGUUUUAGGGGUCUGUGUUGGCGCCCUGCUAAAACUAUCAUGUCCAGUUGUGAUUGCACUCGUGUGAUUUGGAUAACAUCGAACCCGUCUGCCCCGUGGGAUAUUUGAGGACCAGUCAUAGACAAUUUCGAGUAAAAAGCAAAUUUAGUUUUCACUCGCAUGCAAAACAUUCAAACUCGGAUUGUUUCCCUGGCUUCGAGUCUCUCCUGAAGGACAGUGCAGCGAAGACACAAUAAACUCCCUUCUUGUCUUUUAUGGACACACACCUGUUGUCGACUUUGGACUAGCGACUGCGCAAGAUCAAGGCCGUGGAACAGAGACACGCUGCAGGCUUACACACACACAUGCAUCAAAAAAAUAUACGCCACAUAUACGACGCAAAUCCCAUAGGGGUGAUGAAAGGAUGGUCAGCGCCUGAGAGCUGCGGCCGACCACCAUGGCCCCGCACUCCCUUCCCUCUGUUGCUAGAUAUCUCGAGAUGUAUAUUGUAUUAUGUAUAUGUGUUUUGCUACGGAGGAUUUUUCCCACUCCAGACUGGGCCCCCUUAGGUGCCAAGUCUAGAUUGUAUUUUUUUACUCAUCCUUCCCCAGUGUUUUCCCUUUUUCCCAUCUUUUAUGGGGCACCUUGUGGCGACCCAGCAGCGUUCCUGUUCUGUAACUCUGUACACGGUUGUUUGUCUAAUCUUGAACGGAUUUGUGCUGAAAACAAAGUUUUGUUGUACUUGUGCAAUGACAAUAAAGACCUAUCUAUCUA